rnacentral:rRNA from 1 species
GAACGCUGUAGCAAUACAGAGUGGCAGACGGGUGAGUAACGCGUGGGAACCUUCCCUGUGGUACGGAAUAACUUCGGGAAACCGAAGCUAAUACCGUAUAUCUCCUCCGGGAGAAAGAUUUAUCGCCAUAGGAUGGGCCCGCGUUGGAUUAGCUAGUUGGUGAGGUAACGGCUCACCAAGGCACCGAUCGGUAGCUGGUUUGAGAGAACGACCAGCCACACUGGGACUGAGACACGGCCCAGACUCCUACGGGAGGCAGCAGUAGGGAAUCUUGGACAAUGGGGGAAACCCUGAUCCAGCCAUGCCGCGUGAGUGAUGAAGGCCUUCGGGUUGUAAACUCUUUCGGCGGGGACGAUAAUGACGGUACCCGCAGAAGAAGCUCCGGCUAACUUCGUG